UACGGGGGAGCAAGCGUUGUUCGGAUUUACUGGGCGUAAAGGGCGCGUAGGCGGCCACCGCAAGUCGACUGUGAAAUCUCCGGGCUUAACCCGGAAAGGUCAGCCGAUACUGCGGGGCUAGAGUGCAGAAGGGGCAACUGGAAUUCUCGGUGUAGCGGUGAAAUGCGUAGAUAUCGAGAGGAACACCUGCGGCGAAGGCGGGUUGCUGGGCUGACACUGACGCUGAGGCGCGAAAGCUAGGGGAGCGAACGGGAUUAGAUACCCCCGUAGUCC
rnacentral:rRNA from 1 species